CAAAUUUUUCUGCCAACUGUAGAGCUACUUAACUGACCACUGGCAGGUGAUACAGUGGAAGUUGUCCAGAGCCUGGUGCCCUAUAGGUGAGAGAGUGUGCGAGUGGGGAUGGACGAAGAGGGAAAGCCGAC